UACGUAGGGAGCAAGCGUUGUCCGGAAUCAUUGGGCGUAAAGCGCGCGUAGGUGGCCUCAUAAGUCCGCUGUGAAAGUCAAAGGCUCAACCUUUGAAAGCCGGUGGAUACUGUGAGGCUAGAGUACGGAAGAGGCGAGUGGAAUUCCUGGUGUAGCGGUGGAAUGCGCAGAUAUCAGGAGGAACACCAAUAGCGAAGGCAGCUCGCUGGGACGUUACUGACACUGAGGCGCGAAAGCGUGGGGAGCGAACAGG
rnacentral:rRNA from 2 species